AUAAGGCAUGCCUGGGUGGGAAAGAUACUGCAGGUAAGCGACAAGAAGGGGAAAUUGGGAGCAUUUUUCUGUGUCCCUGACAUAAAGCCUACCUGGGAGUUUCCCCUGAGAUAAGAAACUUUCAGGACAUCUUAAGGUCUACUGCAUCUUCCUGUACUGCCCAUCAAGAUAAGUUUUCCACCCAGCUUUAUCAUGAUUAGCUGCGUGAUUUCAUGUCAGUUUCUCUGUAAAAUUAGGUUUGACUGUUGCAUUAUUUUUAAGAUGCCUUCCAGGCUUAAAGUAUUAUGAUGCAUGGGUAUAAC
rnacentral:lncRNA from 10 species